rnacentral:rRNA from 1 species
CAUGCAAGUCGAACGGGAUCCGACAAGCUUGCUUGUCGGUGAGAGUGGCGAACGGGUGAGUAAUGCGUGACCGACCUGCCCCAUACACCGGAAUAGCUCCUGGAAACGGGUGGUAAUGCCGGAUGCUCCAGUCCAUCGCAUGGUGGUCUGGGAAAGAUUUCAUCGGUAUGGGAUGGGGUCGCGUCCUAUCAGGUAGUCGGCGGGGUAACGGCCCACCGAGCCUACGACGGGUAGCCGGCCUGAGAGGGCGACCGGCCACAUUGGGACUGAGAUACGGCCCAGACUCCUACGGGAGGCAGCAGUGGGGAAUAUUGCACAAUGGGCGCAAGCCUGAUGCAGCGACGCCGCGUGCGGGAUGACGGCCUUCGGGUUGUAAACCGCUUUUGAUCGGGAGCAAGCCUUCGGGUGAGUGUACCUUUCGAAUAAGCACCGGCUAACUACGUGCCAGCAGCCGCGGUAAUACGUAGGGUGCAAGCGUUAUCCGGAUUAUUGGGCGUAAAGGGCUCGUAGGCGGUUCGACGCGUCCCGGUUGUGAAAAGUCCCAUGGGGCUAAACGGGUUGAGAUCCGGCCCCGGGGUAACAGGGCGGGGCUUGAGGUCGGGUAGGGGGAGGCUGGAAUUCCCGGUGGUAAUCGGUGGAAAUGUGUAGAUUAUCGGGAAGAACACCAAUUGGCGAGGCAGGUCUAUGGGCCGUCACUGUCGCUGAGGAGCGAAAGCGUGGGGAGCGAACAGGAUUAGAUACCCUGGUAGCCACGCGGUAAACGGUGGAUGCUGGAUGUGGGGCCCAUUCCACGGGUUCCGUGUCGGAGCUAACGCGUUAAGCAUCCCGCCUGGGGAGUACGGCCGCAAGGCUAAAACUCAAAGAAAUUGACGGGGGCCCGCACAAGCGGCGGAGCAUGCGGAUUAAUUCGAUGCAACGCGAAGAACCUUACCUGGGCUUGACAUGUUCCCGACAGCCCCAGAGAUGGGGCCUCCCUUCGGGGCGGGUUCACAGGUGGUGCAUGGUCGUCGUCAGCUCGUGUCGUGAGAUGUUGGGUUAAGUCCCGCAACGAGCGCAACCCUCGCCCUGUGUUGCCAGCACGUCAUGGUGGGAACUCACGGGGGACCGCCGGGGUCAACUCGGAGGAAGGUGGGGAUGACGUCAGAUCAUCAUGCCCCUUACGUCCAGGGCUUCACGCAUGCUACAAUGGCCGGUACAACGGGAUGCGACAUGGCGACAUGGAGCGGAUCCCUUAAAACCGGUCUCAGUUCGGAUUGGAGUCUGCAACCCGACUCCAUGAAGGCGGAGUCGCUAGUAAUCGCGGAUCAGCAACGCCGCGGUGAAUGCGUUCCCGGGCCUUGUACACACCGCCCGUCAAGUCAUGAAAGUGGGCAGCACCCGAAGCCGGUGG